UACGUUAGUUACUCGGUAGGCGAGAGCGUGUGAUUAAUAAUCGCAAUGCGCAGGUUCGAUUCCUGCCUCCGCAGCCA
rnacentral:tRNA from 1 species